CCCUACGGGACGCAGCAGUGAGGAAUAUUGGUCAAUGGACGCAAGUCUGAACCAGCCAUGCCGCGUGCAGGAUGACGGCUCUAUGAGUUGUAAACUGCUUUUGUACGAGGGUAAACCCCGAUACGUGUAUCGGGUUGAAAGUAUCGUACGAUUAAGGAUCGGCUAACUCCGUGCCAGCAGCCGCGGUAAUACGGAGGAUCCGAGCGUUAUCCGGAUUUAUUGGGUUUAAAGGGUGCGCAGGCGGUCUGUUAAGUCAGCGGUCAAAGCACGGGGCUCAACCCCGGCCCGCCGUUGAAACUGGCAGU
rnacentral:rRNA from 1 species